rnacentral:lncRNA from 1 species
GGCAAAAUUUCAUUCAUGUUAUUGGAACUUCAUUUUAGAACCCUUUUGGAAAAUGAGACUUUAUUUGACAAAUGAGAACUCUCGUUAUCAUAAUCAUUGUUUUUGAUAAUUUUUCUUCUAGUUUUGAUAUUGAUUUCAGGAGACCGCCUGGAGAACAGGGUGAGAAAAUUGUAAGUCGGCUACCCGCUCAGAGAAUAAGGUGAUAAAAUUAAAAGUCAGGAGCCCGCCUGGAGAACAGGGUGAGAAAAUUACAAAUUGGGAGCUCGCUCAGAGAACAGGGUGAUGAAAUUGAAAGUUGGAAGCCCGCCCGUAGAAUAGGGCGAUGAAAUUGAAAGUUAGGAGCCUACCUGGAGAACAGGGUGAGGAAACUGCAAGUGGGGAGCCUGCCUGGAGAAUAGGGUGAUGAAAUCGUAAGUCGAGAGCCCACCUGAAGGACAGGGUGAUGAAGUUAGGGGUGUGCAUCGGUCGGUACGAUUUGAUUUUAUGCGUUAUUAGUUCGGUUUAUUGGUUUUUGAUUUUUAAAUAUGUAAAAUCAAUAACCAACCAAUAAGAUAUUUUCUUAUCGGUUUUGGUUUUUUGGUUUUUGGUCCUUAACGAUUCGAUUUUUGAUUUAGCCAAUAAGAAAAUACUUAUAGAAUAGAAAUAGUAACAACUAACAUAAAAAAAAUGAAAUCUUAGUUACCGCCAAAAUCCUACGCAAUGCAUUUUAGUUUGCAAAAAUCUUCAAACUUUAACUGAAUGUUAGUUCGAAAAAAAAUUAAAUCCUAAUUGUUGGAAGCUAUAAAUGCUUCAAGCUUUUCAAUACGAUAAUAGCUGAGUUUUAUAUUAUGCCUUUGUUGACCUGAAUAGGUUAAUUAUAUAUAUAUAGAUAGAGAGAGAGAGAGAGAGAGAGAGAGAUUUAUAUAUAUAACAUAAAUAGGGAUAUAAAACAAUAAUUUAGUGUAUCCUUAUUGGGUUAUCAGUUUAACCAAUAACCUAGUAAGCUAAAACCGAAACCGAACCGUUUACCUAAUAAUUUUUUUUUAUAAAACCAAUAAGAAACCGUUAACCCAAUAACCCAAUACCAAUAACCCAAUUACAUUUUCAUCGGUUCAGUUUAUCGGUCGGUUUGAUUUUUGCACACCCCUAGAUGAAGUUGAAAGUCUAUAGCCUGCCUGAAGAACAUGGUGAGAAAAUUGUAAGUCGGGAGCCUGCCCGGAGAACAGGGUGAUAAAAUUGAAAGUCAAGAGCCUGCAUGGAGAAUAGGGUACGCCCGAAGAAUAAGGUCAGAAGUCCGCCUGAAGAACAAGGUGAAGAGAUUGAAAGUCAACAAGGUGAAGAGAUUGAAAGUCAGGAGCCCGACUAGAGACUAGGGUGAAGAUUUUCAACUUUAAGUCCAUCAGAAGUCCCACAUGAAGAAUAUGGUCAAUGUUCAAGUUUACCCCCAACACCAAAUUUUGCAUGAAGAAAGGAUUCACUUUCAAGUUCAACCCAAACACUUGAAAAAACAUUAAAGACUCAAGCAAGAAUCAAGAGAUGCUGUGUAGAUAUGACUUUUGUAAAUUCGUUUAUCUUUUUAACUUGUAAUUUUUAUUUUUGAUGUAAUGACAAAGCUGCG